rnacentral:rRNA from 1 species
UACAGAGGGGGCAAGCGUUGUUCGGAAUUACUGGGCGUAAAGGGCUCGUAGGCGCCAACUAAGUCAGACGUGAAAUCCCCAGGCUCAACCUGGGAACUGCGUCCGAUACUGGCAGGCUUGAAUCCGGGAGAGGGAUGUGGAAUUCCAGGUGUAGCGGUGAAAUGCGUAGAUAUCUGGAGGAACACCGGUGGCAAAGGCGGCAUCCUGGACCGACACUGACGCUGAGGCGCGAAAGCUAGGGGAGCAAACGGG